GAUGAACGCUGGCGGCGUGCCUAAUACAUGCAAGUCGUGCGGUAACACUUCGGGUGACGAGCGGCGGACGGGUGAGUAAUGCAUAGGAACGUGCCCCAAAGUGAGGGAUAACUGCUCGAAAGAGUAGCUAAUACCGCAUAUUAUCUUCGGAUCAAAGCUUCGGCGCUUUGGGAGCGGCCUAUGUCUGAUUAGCUAGUUGGUAGGGUAAAGGCCUACCAAGGCGACGAUCAGUAGCUGGUUUGAGAGGAUGAUCAGCCACACUGGGACUGAGACACGGCCCAGACUCCUACGGGAGGCAGCAGUAGGGAAUUUUCCACAAUGGGGGCAACCCUGAUGGAGCAACGCCGCGUGCAGGAUGAAGGCCUUCGGGUCGUAAACUGCUUUUAUCUGUGACGAUUUUGACGGUAGCAGAUGAAUAAGGAUCGGCUAACUACGUGCCAGCAGCCGCGGUAA
rnacentral:rRNA from 1 species